AUAUCAUGAUGAAGACAUCUCCUAAGUAACUCUUUAAAUCUUUCUCAUGCUUCAUACAAGCUUUUAUCUUCAAGUUGAUAGAAAGAUGUGAUCUCAUUUCUUAAUUU
rfam:Citrus clementina cultivar Clemenules unplaced genomic scaffold scaffold_8, whole genome shotgun sequence.